GCGACUAUAGUUCAACGGUUAGAACAUCGGUUUGUGGUACCGAGGAUCUGGGUUCGAUUCCCAGUAGUCGCCCA
rnacentral:tRNA from 1 species